rnacentral:rRNA from 1 species
UACGAAGGGUGCAAGCGUUAAUCGGAAUUACUGGGCGUAAAGCGCGCGUAGGUGGUUCGUUAAGUUAGGAGUGAAAGCCCCGGGCUCAACCUGGGAAUUGCUUCUAAAACUGGCGAGCUAGAGUAUGGUAGAGGGUGGUGGAAUUUCCUGUGUAGCGGUGAAAUGCGUAGAUAUAGGAAGGAACAUCAGUGGCGAAGGCGACCACCUGGACUGAUACUGACACUGAGGCGCGAAAGUGUGGGGAGCAAACAGGAUUAGAUACCCGGGUAGUCCCUGA